UGCCUUAGUAACUGCGAGUGAAGCGGCAAAAGCUCAAAUUUGAAAUCUGUCGCCUCCGGCGGCCGAGUUGUAAUUUGGAGGGAUAUCUUCGGGGACGGCGCCGCCCUAAGUUUCUUAGAACAGGACAUCAUAGAGGGUGAGAAUCCCGUGCCUGGGUGGCUGCCCCGUCUCCAUGUGAAGUGUCUCCGACGAGUCGAGUUGUUUGGGAAUGCAGCUCAAAAUGGGUGGUAAAUUUCAUCUAAAGCUAAAUAUUGGCGAGAGACCGAUAGCGCACAAGUAGAGUGAUCGAAAGAUGAAAAGCACUUUGAAAAGAGAGUUAAAAAGUACGUGAAAUUGUUGAAAGGGAAGCGCUUGCGACCAGACUUGAUCUUUGGUGAUCAGCCGGGCUUCUGUCCGGUGCCCUCGCCGCUGAUCAGGCCAGCAUCGGUUCCGGGGGCGGGAUAAAAGGCGGGGGAAUGUGGCUUCCUUCGGGGAGUGUUAUAGCCCCUGUCACAAUGCCGCCACCUGGGACCGAGGACCGCGCUUCGGCUAGGAUGCUGGCGUAAUGGUCUUAAGCGACCCGUCUUGAAACACGGACCAAGGAGUCUAACAUCUAUGCGAGUGUUCGGGUGGAAAACCCUUGCGCGUAAUGAAAGUGAACGUAGGUGUGAACCCGCGAGGGUGCAACAUCGACCGGUCCCGAUGUCUUCGGAAGGAUCUGAGUAAGAGCAUAGCUGUUGGGACCCGAAAGAUGGUGAACUAUGCCUGAAUAGGGUGAAGCCAGAGGAAACUCUGGUGGAGGCUCGCAGCGGUUCUGACGUGCAAAUCGAUCGUCAAAUUUGGGUAUAGGGGCGAAAGACUAAUCGAACCAUCUAGUAGCUGGUUCCUGCC
rnacentral:rRNA from 1 species